rnacentral:lncRNA from 1 species
UCACAAAGAACAUCCAAAAGCCCUAGCCCGCCCCCCAUUUCCACCGCAUCAAGGUGGUGGCAACAGUCCCAAUCACCACCAAAUUAACAACCCGGAAACCUUAUCUUCCCCUCAGUCCAUAAUUAUACUUUGUUUCCUUCGAAUCUUCCCACAGCUCUUUGAAUCUUGAUUUGAAGAUGGAAACCCUAAAAACCCAAAGUCUGAAUCAGUGGAUUUCUAAAGAUUUUGGAUCGUAAUGUCCUUUAUUCGUGUGUUUCCACAUAAAAACACACGAUUAAGGGAUACUCUGGUCAAUAAGUUAAAGAAGUAUGCCAAGUUUGUCGAAUCGGCUCCUGGCUA